rfam:Camelus ferus unplaced genomic scaffold scaffold25522, whole genome shotgun sequence.
CCUGAGGCUUUAAUCAAAGCCACUCUUUACAAAAUAAAUAAUCUGG